GAUUAACGCUGGCGGCGUGCCUAACACAUGCAAGUCGAACGCCCUUUUGCGCAAGUGAGAGGGAGUGGCGGACGGGUGAGUACCACGUGGGUACCUACCUUGAGGUGAGGAAUACCACCGAGAAAUCGGUGACAAGACCGCAUACGCUCGGGCAACCGAGCAAAGUCAUGCAAAUGACGCCACAAGAUGAGCCUGCGCCUGAUUAGCUGGUUGGUGAGGAACAGCUCACCAAGGCGACGAUCAGUAGCUGGUCUGAGAGGAUGAUCAGCCACACUGGGAUUGAGAACGGCCCA
rnacentral:rRNA from 1 species